rnacentral:rRNA from 1 species
GCAGCCUGAUGCAGCGACGCCGCGUGAGGGAUGACGGCCUUAGGGUUGUAAACCUCUUUCAGUAGGGAAGAAGCGAAAGUGACGGUACCUGCAGAAGAAGCGCCGGCUAACUACGUGCCAGCAGCCGCGGUAAUACGUAGGGCGCAAGCGUUAUCCGGAAUUAUUGGGCGUAAAGAGCUCGUAGGCGGUUUGUCGCGUCUGCCGUGAAAGUCCGGGGCUCAACUCCGGAUCUGCGGUGGGUACGGGCAGACUAGAGUGAUGUAGGGGAGACUGGAAUUCCUGGUGUAGCGGUGAAAUGCGCAGAUAUCAGGAGGAACACCGAUGGCGAAGGCAGGUCUCUGGGCAUUAACUGACGCUGAGGAGCGAAAGCAUGGGGAGCGAACAGGAUUAGAUACCCUGGUAGUCCAUGCCGUAAACGUUGGGCACUAGGUGUGGGGGACAUUCCACGUUUUCCGCGCCGUAGCUAACGCAUUAAGUGCCCCGCCUGGGGAGUACGGCCGCAAGGCUAAAACUCAAAGGAAUUGACGGGGGCCCGCACAAGCGGCGGAGCAUGCGGAUUAAUUCGAUGCAACGCGAAGAACCUUACCAAGGCUUGACAUGGACUGGAAAUACCUGGAAACAGGUGCCCCGCUUGC